rnacentral:rRNA from 1 species
GAUGAACGCUGGCUACAGGCUUAACACAUGCAAGUCGAGGGGAAACGCCGGGGAAGCUUGCUUCCCCGGGCGUCGACCGGCGCACGGGUGAGUAACGCGUAUCCAACCUGCCUCUGACUGAGGGAUAACCCGUCGAAAGUCGGCCUAAUACCUCAUGGUAUCGUCUGCGGGCAUCCAACGACAAUUAAAGAUUUCAUCGGUCAGGGAUGGGGAUGCGUCUGAUUAGCUUGUUGGCGGGGUAACGGCCCACCAAGGCUACGAUCAGUAGGGGUUCUGAGAGGAAGGUCCCCCACAUUGGAACUGAGACACGGUCCAAACUCCUACGGGAGGCAGCAGUGAGGAAUAUUGGUCAAUGGGCGAGAGCCUGAACCAGCCAAGUAGCGUGCAGGAAGACGGCCCUAUGGGUUGUAAACUGCUUUUAGGCGGGGAUAAAGUGAGGGACGUGUCCCUCAUUGCAGGUACCGCAUGAAUAAGGACCGGCUAAUUCCGUG